UACAUAUGAGCCCGACUUUUUAGGGAUACCAAAACACUUGUUGUGUUGUUGUUUCAUCUUCAAAUAUGUCAUGACAACGAAUGCAUUGUCGUUAACCUUUGAGAAAGAUGUUCAUCCAACAUCCGGAAGAGCUAAUACAGUUUUCGUUUUUGAACAUUUCUGGUUGGCAACGUUUUUAAUGAUAACAAUGUUGUUUUUCAUUUCAACAUCAUCCUUCCUCGUUUUGUUGUUUUUGUCCUGAUUUCUUUCACGAGUUUGUUCACACUGUCUGCAAACUAUAUUCGAAUUCGAAGAUUUGCGUCUGAUUAUUUUCCAAAACUUUCACGUCUUAUAUAAAAUCUUGGUUGAUGAUGAGAUUAUGGAUGGCUGACAGUUUUAAUUUCAUG
rnacentral:lncRNA from 1 species